UACGAAGGGGGCUAGCGUUGCUCGGAAUCACUGGGCGUAAAGCGCACGUAGGCGGAUCUUUAAGUCAGGGGUGAAAGCCCGGGGCUCAACCCCGGAACUGCCUUUAAGACUGCAUCGCUUGAAUCCGGGAGAGGUGAGUGGAAUUCCGAGUGUAGAGGUGAAAUUCGUAGAUAUUCGGAAGAACACCAGUGGCGAAGGCGGCUCACUGGACCGGCAUUGACGCUGAGGUGCGAAAGCGUGGGGAGCAAACAGGG
rnacentral:rRNA from 1 species